AUCAUUAUCAGAAAUGGCUCAGAUGCGGCUAAACUCAGCUACACUCAUUGUCCUUUCGAUUCUUUUAUUAUCGAUCAGUUCAAAUGGGAAUAGUUUUACUAUCAAAGAUGAUGCUUGUCCACAUCCAAAUGUUUCAUUCAAUAGCUUUUGUAUUAAAUGGGUUUGCGAAUUUCAAUGUCAUGAAGAUGGCAAGGAAUCCGGUAAAUGCGUUGGUGGUCUUUUAACAGCAAAGUGUUGCUGUAAUAUUUAAGUUAUGCAUUUUAUGAUUUUAAAUCAUGUUUAUUUUUCCAUGG
rnacentral:lncRNA from 1 species